UGGGGACGUCCGUCGCCUUCGGAUGAAUUAUUGGGUCCCUAAGCCCUGAGCCGGGAAUUGGUCCCUGGAGGCUGGUACCUGGGCCCUCAGUUCCCCGCACGGGCCGGCAGGACGAAGAUUUUAUUCCAAAAAGGAAGUUUGGAGGCGUGUUGGAGUGUCACCUCUGUUUUGUGUGCCAAGGAGAUUGAAUUAGUUCUCAAUAAUGGGAAGAACCUACAUUGUAGAAGAGACUAUUGGCCAGUAUCUCUCAAACCUCAGUCUCCAAGGAAAGUCUUUUGUCUCAGGUCUUUUAAUAGGACAGUGUUCUUCACAGAAGGAUUAUGUGAUUCUUGCCACUAGAACACCACCAAAAGAGGAAAAAAAUGAGAAUCUCAAGCAUCCCAAAGAUCAGUUGGAUAACUUGGAUGAAGAAUGGGUCACGGAACAUGCUAACCAGGUAUCCAGAAUGCUACCUGGGGGACUUUUAGUUCUUGGAAUAUUUAUUAUUACAACAUUAGAAAUGGGAAAUGAUUUUCAAAAUACCCUGCGCAGACUAGUAUUUGCUGUGGAAAAAUCUAUGAAUAAAAAGAGACUGUGGAGUUUUACAGAGGAAGAAGUCUCAGAUCGAGUGACACUUCACAUUUGCUCUUCUACAAAAAAAAUACUUUGUCGAACUUAUGAUAUCCAUGAUCCAAAGAGUUCAGCAAAACCAGCAGAUUGGAAGUAUCAAAAUGGACUAUCAACUUCAUGGCUUUCUUUAGAGUGUACAGUUCAUAUUAAUAUUCACAUCCCACUGUCUACUACUUCUGUCAGCUAUACUCUGGAGAAAAAUACAAAGAAUGGACUUGCACGCUGGGCGAAGCAAAUAGAAAAUGGUGUUUAUUUGAUUAAUGGACAAGUUAAAGCUGAAGAUUGUGACCUAUUAGAAGGACAGAAAAAACCUCGAGGAAAUGCUCCAGCAAGUAGUUGUUCUUUUGAUGUCAGAGUGUUAACGCAGUUGCUUCUGAAUUCAGACCACAGAUCCACAGCCACCGUCCAGAUCUGCAGUGGCUCUGUAAACCUUAAGGGCGCUGUGAAAUGCAGAGCUUACAUUCAUAGCAAUAAACCCAAGGUUAAGGAUGCUGUGCAGGCAGUGAAGAGAGAUAUAUUGAAUACAGUUGCUGAUCGUUGUGAAAUACUAUUUGAGGAUCUGCUUUUGAAUGAAAUUCCAGAAAAAAAAGAUUCUGAAAAAGAGUUUCACAUCCUUCCUCACCGAGUUUUUGUCCCCAUUCCGGGAUCCACGGUAAUGUUAUGUGAUUAUAAAUUCGGUGAUGAGUCAGCUGAAGAAAUCAGAGACCAUUUUAUAGAGAUGUUAGAUCAUAGGAUUCAAAUUGAAGAUUUGGAAAUUACAGAGGAAAUCAACACAGCUUUUCUGAGUUCCUCUAUGAAUUCUGAAGCGCCAGAGGACAAUAGAGAUGAUGAACAACCAAAAGAACCAAUGCAAACUACAAUAGUGUCGAAAAUUCGGCGAAACAUGGGUAUGAUUGCAGCAUUUGCAGUUGCAUUCCUUGCUGUGGGUAUCUCCUUUCACUACUUCAGUGAUUAGGGUGAAGCACAAAGAGCUUCCUGAUCAUCCAGAGAACACUGACCAAAAUUAUGAAUAAUAAGGAUGCAAACAAGCCGUCUGCUUUUAAGACAACAGCAGCCAGACCUGCUGCCAAACUCCUAUUAGAUUUUAGUCCUCUUGAUCUGGAUCACAUAUUCAUCAGGACAUUGAAAAUUUGAAUAGUCAGGGUUGGCUGAAUAUCUUAGUAAUAGAACAACAGGAGAAAUUUCUACAAAGUGGGGCAACAACUUAUUGGGUAAGUUCAUACUGUAGGACCUUUCUAAUGUUUACCUAGUUCCAAAAUAUUGACCAAGUUCUGAUCAAAUGGUAGGAAACCUUUCCGGAUUUGAGUCAGUAAAGAUUGCCAUAAAUCAUGUGCUUUCUUGUAUUUGCAUAACAUAAUUGUUUUACUAUAUUAAAUAAGAUUUUUUUUCUUCCAGCAGUACAUUAGACUAGGUUCUAUGAAAUACUUAGAUCCUGAAUAAAAAUGUACCUUUGAGUGCAUUAAUACACCCAAGGGAAGUAGGGGAGAUCUCCAAAGACCAUACCUUUACUUUUCUUUCACCACAAAAAUGAAUACAUUUUGAGUUGGAAGUUAUAAAUACUGUAUUAGUAUAUGUGUGGGCUGUGGUUGCUCACAUGGGAGAUACCAAUUGCAGCACUGCCUUAUGCAGUUUGCCUCAGACCAGAAACAAGGAGAGUAUUCUGAAUCUGAGAUGCUACCCUACCCAGGACAGUUGGAGUGGUCCUCAAUUUGUAGUCUCCUAUAACUCCUGACAGAAGCAAGGUAGAGGCUGAAGAUUCUCAUAGAUUAAAAUAAAGCAAUGUUAUUUCAUGACUAGAGAUCACCAGUCAAGUUGAAACUAACUGGCAUGAGAAAGAAUCUAUAGAAAUAACCAUCUUCAAAUUAAACUCUCCCAAGGUUUCAUCGCCAAUAUACAUGAAGGAUUGAACCACAAUCAGAUGUGCAAAAAUAAAACAAAUAGAACUGCUAGAAAUGAGAACUGUUACUUGGGGGGAAAAAAUCCUUGGAAACGUUGAAUGUCAUAUUAUACUCUGCUGAAAAGACAGCAAAUAAACUGAAAGCUAAAGCUAAAAAAUGACUCAGUGCAAAGCAAGGAGAAAUGAGCCACUGGAAGAUAUGAAUACUAAGAGGUAUGGAAGGAAUAAUUUUGAGGACUAAAGUACUAGGGGGAGAAAGAAUGGAGAGGAUGGAGGAGUGGCAGUAUUUGAAAAAAAUAACAAUUUUCUGCAUUUGUUGGAAAAUAUGCAUUCAUAAAUUCAGCAAACACAAUAUAUAUCCCAAGCACAUAUAGAUGAAAUUCAUACCUACCUAACCCCAGUGAAUGUAACUGCUAGAUACCAAACAAGAUUAUAAAAGCAAUCAAAGUGGGGAAAGGAUCAGGAAGAUGAGACAAAUACUGAGUAGGCUUCUUUAUGGCAACAAUAUACAUACCCAAAAUAUGGUAAAAUAACACCUUCAAAAUUCUGAAACAAACUACUCAACUUAAAAUUUGAGCCAAGCAAGACUGAAGGACAUAUUCAGACAUGACCAUAAAGACAUGUUUAGAUGGAAAACGGGUUUUACCAUCAAUAGACCUUCAUUAAAGAGACUGCAAAAGCAUGAUCUCAAGAAGGAAAAGGAAGUGUUUAUAAGAAGGAAAGUUUUAAACAAAUGUAGAACUAAAUAUUUUAUGCAACAUUAAUGUGUACUUUUACUAGUAAAAUAGGAUAUAAUUGAAACUGGACAAUGACUUAUAAGGUGAGAGGGGUGAUUAGCAUUAAAGUAUUUUGAGGUUCUUUUGAGAAAAUGGGUAAAAUAUUGUUUAACUUUAAAAUUAUGUUAAAUAUUGUAUAGUAAAAUGUUCAAGUAUAACUGCUAAAGAAUAGAUAUGGGAUAAGUCAUUGUAGAGGAAAAUAAACAACAUAUGGAAUAGGAAGUCAAUAACUUAGUAUAAAAAAGGGGAAAAAAUAUGGGUGGGAGUAGGAAAAAAGUAGAUGAUAAUAAGACAUCAGAUAAUUAAAAUAAAUAUGAAUAGACUAAAAUAAAUUAACCAACAGUUUAAUUUUUUUUAAUUUGCUGGGUUAAACAAUCAUUAGGCAAAUAGCAAAAGAGAAUAUGUAUAGUUUUAGUGAUCACAUAAAAUUAGACUUUAUUAUAUGUAAAGAUAGAGGUUACUAAAUAAUUGGAAAAUGAUCAAUUCACAAGGAAUAUAUAACAAUUUUAAAUUUGUAAAAUGACCUCAAAAUGUAUGAACUAUGGGACUAACUCAACAAAUUGAACGACAUAAUGGGAGAUUUCAACAGCUCUUAAUUGAUAAAUCGGGCAGACUGAAAAAAUUAGUGAAUACAGACUUGAGUAAUUUAAUUUUCACUAUUGAGUCAAUGAACAUAUUUAAUCAACCGAGAAUAUUCUUUUUAAUCCAUGUAUAUCAGCAAAAAUUGACCAUGUACUAGACAUGAAAUAAGUUAUUGUAAAUUUCAAAUAGUAUUAAAUGGAUAAUUAGAAAUAAGUUAGAGGUUAGUGAUAAAAGUUAAUUCUUAAAAAUCUUAUAUUUACAAGUUUAAUAAAACUUUACAGAUGAAAGGAGAAAACUUACUUAGAAUCUGUAAGUACUACAUUUGGAAAAUUGGGUGAUGCCACAGAAACAGCACUUUGAGGGAUGUGGUUUUAAACUAAGGAACGAGACUAAGUGUAAGGAAAAGAACAAUAGAAUAAGCAAUGUAGAAGCAAGGAGACAUUCACAAGCAAUGGGAGAAAUGAAUGACCAAAGUACCUAUAGAUAUAGUAAAGAUAAAAAUGAUAAGAGACUAUCAGGAGCAUCUUAAUAUAUUUGCAAACUUAGACAAAAUAGACCAUGGUCUAGGAAAAUGCAGGUUCAAAGAAUAAAUAAAGAAUACUCCAGCUCAUGUAUGAGGUUCAGUAUAACUAUUACUGUACUGGAAUCAAACUCAUUCAGUAGGAGAAAAUAAAGUUCCAGAUGAAUAGCACUUACAAAUAGAGAUGUAAAAGGCAAGAUCCUAUUAAGGGAAUUCAGCAUUAUGUAAAAGAGGAUGAUAAUUAAGUUGUAUACAUAAAAAACUAGGAACACACAACAACAAUGCCUGUUAUCUACACUUAUAUUCAUCAUUAUCCUGUGUAAAAUGAGCAAAAGACAGAAGUCAGAUACUUUCAGAGGAUAUGACUGAACAUAUGAAAAUAUGUUUAAUCUCAUAAGUGAUUGAGACUACAAUGAAUAUACCACUUUAGACUGAAAACUGGAGAAAUGAUAUGGCUAUGUGGUUGGGUGUCAACCUACGAACCAGGAAGUCACAGUUUGAUUCCUGGUCAGGCACAAGUCCAGAUUGCAGGCUCCAUCCCCAGUAGGGGAUGUGCAGGAGGCAGCGGAUCAGUGAUUCUCAUCGGUGUUUCUAUUGCUCCCUCUCCCUCUCCCUUUCUCUCUGAAACCAAUUAAAAAAAAAAAAAAGACAUCUAUAAGUGGGAUUGUAAAGUGGAAAGCAAUUUGGCAUUAUCAUGUAAGGUUAAGCAUUCACAUAUUCUAAUACCUACCUAUUCAACAUAUAUACCCUAGAGAAAUUCAUGCAUAUGUGCACAGGAGUACAAGUGAGAAUGUUCAAGGCAUUCUUGUUUGCAACCACCCAAAUGUCCAUCAAUAAAAGAAUAAAAAAUAAAUUGUGAGGUUUGUAUUCAAGAUCUGAUGUUUACUGGCAGUAUGACCUUGGGCAAGUUUCUUAAACCCUCUCUUUCCCCACCCCCUGUCUCUGUUUCUCAUCUAUAUAAUGGAGAUAAUGGUAUCUAUCUCAUUGAAUUGAGUAUUAAAUUACUUUGUAUAUAUCAGGCAUGCAGAGCAGUGCCUGAUAUGAAGCAAACAUUUAAUAAAGGAGCAGCUAUUGAAAAAAAAAAAA